UACGUAGGAGGCGAGCGUUGUCCGGAUUUACUGGGCGUAAAGCGCGUGUAGGUGGUAAGGCAAGUCUGCUGUGAAAGCUCACGGCUCAACUGUGAGAGGUCGGUGGAAACUGCUUUACUUGAGGACGGUAGAGGGGGGUGGAAUUCCCGGUGUAGUGGUGAAAUGCGUAGAGAUCGGCAGGAACACCCAGGGGGAAACCAGCCGACUGGGCAUCUACUGACGCUGAGGUGCGAGAGCGUGGGGAGCGAACCGG
rnacentral:rRNA from 1 species